GCCUGGGUGGCUCAGCGGUUGAGCGUCUGCCUUCGGCUCAGGAUGUGAUCGUGGGAUCGAGUUCCACAUCAGGCU
rnacentral:tRNA from 1 species